rnacentral:rRNA from 1 species
UACAGAGGUCUCAAGCGUUGUUCGGAUUCAUUGGGCGUAAAGGGUGCGUAGGUGGCGCUGUAAGUCAGGUGUGAAAUUUCGGAGCUUAACUCCGAAACUGCAUUUGAUACUGCGGUGCUUGAGGACUGGAGAGGAGACUGGAAUUUACGGUGUAGCAGUGAAAUGCGUAGAGAUCGUAAGGAAGACCAGUGGCGAAGGCGGGUCUCUGGACAGUUCCUGACAGCUGAGG